CUUUAUCUACUUGGUAGAAGACAUCCUUACCAGAAGCAUCUGAGUUUUAAAUCUGAAUAUGGAGCCACUGAGCCCCUGAUCAUGCCAGGUAUUGUCAUAGCUUAAAGAGAAAUAAAAUGGUGACUGUGCCUCUGAAGAGUCCACCUUUUGUGGAGGAGAUGCAUGUGGUGAACAAAAUCUCUUGCGGAAGGAAGUUUGCUUUCCAGGCACACUCCGGAUUGGCCCAGAGCCUGAGAGAACGCCCUUACAC